CUACGGGAGGCAGCAGUGAGGAAUAUUGCACAAUGGGGGGAACCCUGAUGCAGCAACGCCGCGUGGAGGAUGACGCAUUUCGGUGUGUAAACUCCUUUUAUAUGUCAAGAAAAUGACGGUAGCAUAUGAAUAAGCACCGGCUAACAUCCGUGCCAGCAGCCGCGGUAAUACGGGUGGGUGCAAGCGUUACUCGGAAUCACUGGGCGUAAAGGACGCGUAGGCGGGUUGGAAAGUCAGGUGUGAAAUCCUACAGCUUAACUGUAGAACUGCACUUGAAACUUCUAAUCUAGAGUAUGGGAGGGGGAGAUGGAAUUAGUGGUGUAGGGGUAAAAUCCGUAGAUAUCACUAGGAAUACCUAAAGCGAAGGCGAUCUCCUGGAACAUUACUGACGCUAAGGCGUGAAAGCGUGGGGAGCAAACAGGAUUAGAUACCCUGGUAGUC
rnacentral:rRNA from 1 species